UUGGAAACAGAGGCAGCGGCUGCGACCUUGCUACCCGCAGCCUUCGCCGGCGUCACACUCUCUCUCCCUCCCUCCCUCCCCCGCUUGCUCUCUCUUUCUUUCUCUAGCUCCGGCAACGCGUUUCAUUGCCGGAACUGUACUGGUAAGCCACCGGUACUGCUCGGGACGGCUGGAACCGUCCGAUUCGGGACGAUUCCGCCGACCCUGGUUUCAUGAGCUAGUUACCAGUUGCUGUUGGUUCUUGUUGGUUUUUAUAGAUAAGGCCAUGACGAGUGCAUUAUGUUGUUUUGGAGGAUUUUGGCUAGUUUACAUGGACCAAUCUGUAUUGGCUCUUACUGAUCGAGUUGGCUUGUGAACCGGUUGUACCAAGCCAUUUUGGUGCUUAACUUGGAAAGUCAUCUUCUGUAGAUGUUUAGAAUUAGUUUCGGAGUAGUAUGUGA
rnacentral:lncRNA from 1 species